GCAGCCGCCGCGGUAAUGCGAAGGGUGCAAGCGUUAAUCGGAAUUACUGGGCGUAAAGCGUGCGUAGGUGGUGGUUUAAGUCCGUUGUGAAAGCCCUGGGCUCAACCUGGGAAUGGCAGUGGAUACUGGCUCGCUAGAGUGUGUCAGAGGAUGGUGGAAUUCCCGGUGUAGCGGUGAAAUGCGUAGAGAUCGGGAGGAACAUCAGUGGCGAAGGCGGCCAUCUGGGACAACACUGACGCUGAGGCACGAAAGCGUGGGGAGCAAACAGGAUUAGAGACCCCUGUAGUCCCUGUCUCUUAUAC
rnacentral:rRNA from 1 species